rnacentral:rRNA from 1 species
GAAUUUUGCACAAUGGCCGAAAGGCUGAUGCAGCAACGCCGCGUGAGUGAAGAAGGCCUUCGGGUUGUAAAGCUCUGUUGACCGGGAAGAACGGCGUAAUCAGGAAAUGGGUUACGUUUGACGGUACCGGUAGAGGAAGCCCCGGCUAACUACGUGCCAGCAGCCGCGGUAAUACGUAGGGGGCGAGCGUUGUCCGGAUUUAUUGGGCGUAAAGGGCGUGUAGGCGGCUGGUCAAGUCCGACGUGAAAUCUCCCGGCUUAACUGGGAAACUGCUUCGGAAACUGAUCGGCUUGAAGGUGGGAGAGGGUAGUGGAAUUCCCGGUGUAGUGGUGAAAUGCGUAGAUAUCGGGAGGAACACCAGUGGCGAAGGCGACUACCUGGCCCAUUCUUGACGCUGAGGCGCGAAAGCUAGGGGAGCGAAC